UAAUAGACUACCCGUGGUAGUCCACGCCCUAAACGAUGCGAACUGGAUGUUGGGUACAUUACGGUACUCAGUGUCGAAGCUAACGCGUUAAGUUCGCCGCCUGGGGAGUACGGUCGCAAGACUGAAACUCAAAGGAAUUGACGGGGGCCCGCACAAGCGGUGGAGUAUGUGGUUUAAUUCGAUGCAACGCGAAGAACCUUACCUGGCCUUGACAUCUGUCGAAUCCUGCAGAGAUGCGGGAGUGCCGCAAGGAACGACAAGACAGGUGCUGCAUGGCUGUCGUCAGCUCGUGUCGUGAGAUGUUGGGUUAAGUCCCGCAACGAGCGCAACCCUUGUCCCUAGUUGCCAGCACGUAAUGGUGGGAACUCUAGGGAGACUGCCGGUGACAAACCGGAGGAAGGUGGGGAUGACGUCAAGUCCUCAUGGCCCUUACGGCCAGGGCUACACACGUACUACAAUGGUCGGUACAGAGGGUUGCGAAGCCGCGAGGUGGAGCCAAUCCCAGAAAACCGAUCCCAGUCCGGAUCGGAGU
rnacentral:rRNA from 1 species